GACGAACGCUGGCGGCGUGCUUCACACAUGCAAGUCGAGCGGUGAAGCCCCUUCGGGGGUGGAUCAGCGGCGAACGGGUGAGUAACACGUGGGCAACCUGCCCCUAGCACUGGGAUAACCCCGGGAAACCGGGGCUAAUACCGGAUACGACCACCGAGGGCAUCCUCCGGUGGUGGAAAGUUCCGGCGGCUAGGGAUGGGCCCGCGGCCUAUCAGCUCGUUGGUGGGGUGAUGGCCCACCAAGGCGACGACGGGUAGCCGGCCUGAGAGGGUGACCGGCCACACUGGGACUGAGACACGGCCCAGACUCCUACGGGAGGCAGCAGUGGGGAAUAUUGCACAAUGGGCGCAAGCCUGAUGCAGCGACGCCGCGUGAGGGAUGACGGCCUUCGGGUUGUAAACCUCUUUCAGCAGGGACGAAGCGCAAGUGACUGUACCUGCAGAAGAAGCGCCGGCUAACUACGUGC
rnacentral:rRNA from 1 species